rnacentral:rRNA from 1 species
GACGAACGCUGGCGGCGUGCUUAACACAUGCAAGUCGAGCGGUAAGGCCCUUUCGGGGGUACGACGAGCGGCGAACGGGUGAGUAACACGUGGGUGACCUGCCCUCAGCUCUGGGAUAAGCCUGGGAAACUGGGUCUAAUACCGGAUAUGACUCCAUGACGCAUGUUGUGGGGUGGAAAGCCUUGUGCGGCUGGGGAGUGGGCCCGCGGCCUAUCAGCUUGUUGGUGGGGUGAUGGCCUACCAAGGCGACGACGGGUAGCCGGCCUGAGAGGGCGACCGGCCACACUGGGACUGAGACACGGCCCAGACUCCUACGGGAGGCAGCAGUGGGGAAUCUUGCGCAAUGGGCGAAAGCCUGACGCAGCGACGCCGCGUGAGGGAUGACGGCCU